GACGAACGCUGGCGGCGUGCUUAACACAUGCAAGUCGAGCGGUAAGGCCCUUUCGGGGGUACACGAGCGGCGAACGGGUGAGUAACACGUGGGUGACCUGCCCUCAGCUCUGGGAUAAGCUUGGGAAACUGGGUCUAGUACCGGAUAUGACUCCAUGACGCAUGUUGUGGGGUGGAAAGCCUUGUGCGGCUGAGGAUGGGCCCGCGGCCUAUCAGCUUGUUGGUGGGGUGANGGCCUACCAAGGCGACGACGGGUAGCCGGCCUGAGAGGGCGACCGGCCACACUGGGACUGAGACACGGCCCAGACUCCUACGGGAGGCAGCAGUGGGGAAUCUUGCGCAAUGGGCGAAAGCCUGACGCAGCGACGCCGCGUGAGGGAUGACGGCCU
rnacentral:rRNA from 1 species